UACGGGGGGAGCAAACGUUGUUCGGAAUCACUGGGCGUAAAGGGCGUGUAGGCGGCUGAAUAAGUGGGAUGUUAAAUCCCCCGGCUCAACCGGGGACCUGCAUCUCAUACUGUUCAGCUCGAGCACAUCAGAGGAGACUGGAAUUCCCGGUGUAGCGGUGAAAUGCGUAGAUAUUGGGAGGAACACCGGUGGCGAAGGCGGCCCUCUGGACCGGUACUGACGCUGAUGCGCGAAAGCGUGGGGAGCAAACGGG
rnacentral:rRNA from 1 species